rnacentral:rRNA from 1 species
GAUGAACGCUAGCGGCAGGCCUAACACAUGCAAGUCGAGGGGCAGCACGAUAAAGCUUGCUUUAUUGGUGGCGACCGGCGCACGGGUGCGUAACGCGUAUGCAACCUACCUUAUACUGGGGUAUAGCCCGGAGAAAUUCGGAUUAAUCCCCCAUAGUAUUGUCGAUUCGCAUGUUUUGACAAUUAAAGGUUACGGUAUAAGAUGGGCAGGCGUCCCAUUAGCUAGAUGGUGAGGUAACGGCUGACCAUGGCGACGAUGGGUAGGGGGCCUGAGAGGGUGGUCCCCCACACUGGUACUGAGACACGGACCAGACUCCUACGGGAGGCAGCAGUGAGGAAUAUUGGUCAAUGGGCGCAAGCCUGAACCAGCCAUGCCGCGUGCAGGAAGACGGUCCUAUGGAUUGUAAACUGCUUUUAUUUGGGAAUAAACUCUCGGACGUGUCCGAGCCUGAAGGUACCAAAUGAAUAAGCACCGGCUAACUCCGUGCCAGCAGCCGCGGUAAAAC